UACAGAGGGGGCAAGCGUUGUUCGGAAUUACUGGGCGUAAAGGGCGCGUAGGCGGCCUGUUAAGUCGAACGUGAAAUCCCCGGGCUCAACCCGGGAACUGCGUCCGAUACUGGCAGGCUUGAAUCCGGGAGAGGGAUGUGGAAUUCCAGGUGUAGCGGUGAAAUGCGCAGAUAUCAGGAGGAACACCGAUUGCGAAGGCAGCUCGCUGGGACGGUACUGACGCUGAGACGCGAAAGCGUGGGGAGCAAACAGG
rnacentral:rRNA from 1 species